rnacentral:rRNA from 1 species
AACUUUCAACAAUGGAUCUCUUGGUUCCGGCAUCGAUGAAGAACGCAGCGAAAUGCGAUAAGUAAUGUGAAUUGCAGAAUUCCGUGAAUCAUCGAAUCUUUGAACGCACAUUGCGCCCCUUGGUAUUCCGGGGGGCAUGCCUGUCCGAGCGUCAUUGCAACCUUCAAGCGCG